rnacentral:rRNA from 1 species
CCUACGGGAGGCAGCAGUGGGGGAUAUUGCACAAUGGGGGGAACCCUGAUGCAGCGACGCCGCGUGGGGGAAGAAGGUCCUCGGCGCGGAAAGCCCUGUCAGCAGGGAAGAAAAUGACGGUACCUGAACACGAAGCCCCGGUUAACUACGUGACAGCAGCCGCGGUCAUACGUAGGGGGCAAGCGUUAUCCGGAUUUACUGGGGGUAAAGGGGGCGCAGACGGGGGUGCAAGCCAGGAGUGAAAGCCGGGGGCCCAACCCCGGGACGGCUCUUGGAACUGCGUGGCUGGAGUGGGGGAGGGGCAGGCGGAAUGCCUGGUGUAGCGGUGAAAUGCGUAGAUAGCAGGAGGAACACCGGUGGCGAAGGCGGCCUGCUGGACUGCAACUGACGUUGAGGCCCGAAAGCGUGGGGAGCAAACAGGAUUAGAUACCCUUGUAGUC